rnacentral:sRNA from 1 species
AGGUCCAAAAGCACCUGUUUCACCUGUAAAACACUCCAAAUGCAAAUAUGCUAUGCAAUGCAAUGCAAAAUGUGAAAAGGAAGGAAAAUGGACUAAGAAUGCAUGAAAAGAGGCAUGAAACUAAGCUAAAUGCAUGAAAAACAAGGGCUUAAAAAGGUUAAAAUCUAGUGUUAUCAACACCCCCAAACUUAGCUCUUUGCUUGUCCUCAAGCAACAAAUAGAGCUAGGCUAGGAGUGAGGUUUGAAAGUGGGGAUUCAGAGCCAAAAUAUGCAUGUA